GACGAACGCUGGCGGCGUGCCUAAUACAUGCAAGUCGAACGAAGCUGUUUUAACUGGUGCUUGCACCGACUUAAACAACUGAGUGGCGAACGGGUGAGUAACACGUGGGUAACCUGCCCCAAAGCGGGGGAUAACAUUUGGAAACAGAUGCUAAUACCGCAUAACCACAGAAACCACAUGGUUUCUGUGUCAAAGAUGGUUUCGGCUAUCACUUUGGGAUGGACCCGCGGCGUAUUAGCUAGUUGGUAAGGUAAUGGCUUACCAAGGCAAUGAUACGUAGCCGAAAUGAGGGGUUGCUCGGCCACAUUGGGACUGAGACACGGCCCAAACUCCUACGGGAGGCAGCAGUAGGGAAUCUUCCACAAUGGACGAAAGUCUGAUGGAGCAACGCCGCGUGAGUGAAGAAGGUUUUCGGAUCGUAAAACUCUGUUGUCAGAGAAGAACGUGUGCGAGAGUAACUGUUCGUGCAGUGACGGUAUCUGGCCAGAAAGCCACGGCUAACUACGUGCCAGCCGCCGCGGUAA
rnacentral:rRNA from 1 species